rnacentral:rRNA from 1 species
UCCAGACUCCUACGGGAGGCAGCAGUGAGGAAUAUUGGUCAAUGGACGAAAGUCUGAACCAGCCAUGCCGCGUGCAGGAAGACGGCUCUAUGAGUUGUAAACUGCUUUUGUACAAGGGUAAACCUGAAUACGUGCAUUCAGCUGAAAGUACUGUACGAAUAAGGAUCGGCUAACUCCGUGCCAGCAGCCGCGGUAAUACGGAGGAUCCAAGCGUUAUCCGGAUUUAUUGGGUUUAAAGGGUGCGUAGGCGGAUUGAUAAGUUAGAGGUGAAAUGUCCGGGCUCAACUCGGGAACUGCCUCUAAUACUGUGGAUCUAGAGAGUAGAGGCGGUAGGCGGAAUGUAUGGUGUAGCGGUGAAAUGCUUAGAGAUCAUACAGAACACCGAUUGCGAAGGCAGCUUACCAAUCUAUAUCUGACGUUGAGGCACGAAAGCGUGGGGAGCAAACAGGAUUAGAUACCCUGGUAAC